GAUAAAUAAAUUAUGCUCUUGGAGAUUAAUUUGGAAAACGAAUAAAAUCCCAGUAAGCAAGCACUUUCAAAUCAAAUUUCAAAAGUCUCUGAAAAUUGUAUGAAUAAUGAAUAUUAAAGUCUGUUGCGCGAAUUAUUAAACAAGAACAUUAUUGCACUAGAAUUUAUGUUGAGAACGAGAUCCAAUGAAAAAAAGGCCAUGUAUAGCUCUAAAAAUGGAUAUUCUUAUUGUUGACAUACCUGUAAUUGAAAAAAAAUAGCUUAAGAAGAAAGGAAUUUAAAGUACUUUGGAUAGCCUCGUCGUUUUUGUUGUACCUUCAAAACCCUAAAGCAUAGUCUUUGAGUACAGAAAAAAAGAAAAGUCAUUUUUAAAUAAGUAGAAUCGACACAUAGUAGAUGCUAUAAGAAGCAUGAACAUUUUGUAGCAACCCCAAAUUGAAGAAGCAAUUCGCCCUAUCGUAAAUAUGGUUAUACUCCGGAUAAGCGUUUAGACAAACUUUUCUAGUUAAAGUAUAGCUAAUGCUGGGUUCUUCGGGACAUCCAAUUCAAAACACUUCAAAGAAAUGAGACAAGUAAUAAGAUAGAUAAGAAUGCCAACUGGAUCUAGUUAGAAUAUUCAAGGUCCAACCAACUUUAUUCACAUAAUGAGUCUUACUAUAACACAGUGGAGCAGAAAUUAUGAUACAUCUCUUCCUAAGCAGAUUAUUGAUAAUUAAAUGGAACAGCAAGGGACGUUCUUUUAAUGAAGAACUAAAAUCCUAUAAGCUUCCGGCCGAUCUUGCUUUCAAAUCAGAGUUUAAAAAAAUAAAAAUUUCCAACUGCAUCUGAAUACAUUCCGAUUUUAAACAUUUGUGAGGUUGGCCAAAAAUGAAUACUUUAAGAAAACAGAUUCUAAAUUAAAAGAUUGUUUGUACUGACUACAAAAACUUGCUAAACCUAAAGUAGACAGUUUUGCCAGUGGGUAAUAUAUUGGACACAUUGAACCAGAACAAGAACGUACAGAAUAUGAAGCUGAAAUUGAAAGAGUGUGCUGCAUUUGCUGCUUGAAGCUAUGUAUAACACUAGAAAGUUCAUGCAUUAAAAAUAUUUACUCUUUUAAAACGAACAAAUAAAUGAAGUAUGUAAGCAUGUAUAAUAUUUAUAAAAUUAAAUAUGAACUUACCAAC